UUUCCGUAGGUGAACCUGCGGAAGGAUCAUCCAUAAUAAGUGCUUUAUGACACUUUUUUAAAUCCAUAUCCACCUUGUGUGCAAUGACAGGGUUGAUUCUUCUCUCGAUAGGGUCAGCCCCAAACAUCAACUAUAUCUCAACUCUUUGUCUGAAAAAUAUUAUGACCAAAACAAUUCAAAAUACAACUUUCAACAACGGAUCUCUUGGCUCUC
rnacentral:misc_RNA from 1 species